GUUCAAAUACAAAAGACAACUAAACCACUACGGUACACCAAACACUUCUUUAUUACAAUGCCUGCCUGCUCAAUUUGGGUAAUACAUAACACAAAACCACACAAAUGCAAACAUCACGGCUAAAGGGGCCAAGAUCCUCCACCAACUUGUCUGUCUUGUUGAUAAAAAAAAUCACAGUUGUCUCUGACUCUUGCAGCUUCCAUUCUAAUUCAUGGAGUUUUACUGCCAUCUUAGACUCCUAAGCAUCAGAUUCUUGGUGCAGGUUGACAGGUUUCUUCUUCAUCUCGGCCAAGGCCUCAAGAAGUCAGGAGCAAGGGACCAUGGAGAGAGUCACAUGUUGACGCCGCACAAUACUCCAUCCACCCUGGUCGACAAAAAAGUAGGCAUGAGGAUAUCCUCCCCAAUCCAAAGUUUGCAACCCUAAAAAUAAAUUAAAAAGGAACUCCAAAGUUUGCAACCCUAAAAAUAAAUUAAAAAUGAACUGCUAUUAGAUCAAGUAGUUAUUCAAGCGAAAAUGAGAUAGAGAAAUCAACUGCAGAACUAAUUUUGACAACAGAACACACACAAAAAAGACUCGGCCAAAAACUGCUUUGCGACAGAUGAAGAACUGGCUGGGAGUUCAAUCCGUCUCUGAAGUCAGCCUCGGCACAGGAUCACCACAAUAGCAAGGAGGUGACAACCGCUAGAAGAAUCUAGAGUGGCUAGAGAAGAUGCAGAUCGAGUGGGGAGAGAACCUGGGAGGCACGAGAUAUGAGAAGAGGAAAAGGGCAAUCGAGAGAUCGAGGUUGAUGAUGAAUAUGACAUAUGGGAUCAGGUGUGGGACCCGAUGGGAUAGGAACUGCCUGCUGAAUGAGGCGGCUCGUCCGCUCCGUCCAAG
rnacentral:lncRNA from 1 species